rnacentral:piRNA from 1 species
UAAACGUUUACCGUGGUGUUCAGCUCUGCAG